CAUAAUUUUGAUCUCUUAUUUACAAGUAUUAUUGAAACGUCAAGAAUGGGGAGCCUAUGAGGUGAGGAGGAGUGGAGGCCGAGUGGGCUUUAUUAGCGGGAGGAAAUGGACAAACCUUCUCCUUGUUAAUCAUUCAUCCCGACCACAAAGUGGGCUCACAAAGUAAUUGUCCAUGGAAUUCAUUCUGCACUCAGGAUGUUUUGCUUAAACACCUUUAAAUGACAUGCUGCACUUCUUUUGAGUGAAUUUUAUUGCGGUGAUUACAAAGAGCUUUACAGAACACUCUCCACAGCGUGAACAUGAACAUCGCACGGCACCGCAGCAAGCAGAUUGAUGAGCUGAGAUAAAGCAGUAUCUUCAGCGAAAAAGGAAAAAAA